rnacentral:rRNA from 1 species
UACGUGGGGAGCAAGCGUUGUUCGGAUUUACUGGGCGUAAAGGGCGCGUAGGCGGUCGUGACAAGUCACUUGUGAAAUCUCCGGGCUUAACUCGGAACGGUCAAGUGAUACUGUCGGACUAGAGGACAGAAGGGGGAACUGGAAUUCUCGGUGUAGCGGUGAAAUGCGUAGAUAUCGAGAGGAACACCUGCGGCGAAGGCGGGUUGCUGGGCUGAUACUGACGCUGAGGCGCGAAAGCCAGGGGAGCGAACGGG